rnacentral:piRNA from 1 species
UGUUUUAUUCAACAUUGGAAC